AGAGUUUGAUCCUGGCUCAGGAUGAACGCUGGCGGCGUGCCUAACACAUGCAAGUCGAACGGAGUGUUGAGAGCUUGCUUUUAACACUUAGUGGCGGACGGGUGAGUAAUGUAUGAGCAACCUGCCUUUCAGAGGGGGACAACAGUUGGAAACGACUGCUAAUACCGCAUAAUGUAUUUUGGAGGCAUCUCUGGGAUACCAAAGGAGCAAUCCGCUGAAAGAUGGGCUCAUAUCUGAUUAGCUAGUUGGUGAGGUAACGGCUCACCAAGGCUGCGAUCAGUAGCCGGACUGAGAGGUUGAACGGCCACAUUGGGACUGAGAUACGGCCCAGACUCCUACGGGAGGCAGCAGUGGGGAAUAUUGGGCAAUGGGCGAAAGCCUGACCCAGCAACGCCGCGUGAAGGAAGAAGGUCUUCGGAUUGUAAACUUCUUUUAUGAGGGACGAAAGACGUGACGGUACCUCAUGAAUAAGCCACGGCUAACUACGUGCCAGCAGCCGCGGUAAUACGUAAGUGGCAAGCGUUAUCCGGAUUUACUGGGUGUAAAGGGCGCGUAGGCGGGGAUGCAAGUCAGAUGUGAAAUCUAUGGGCUUAACCCAUAAACUGCAUUUGAAACUGUAUCUCUUGAGUGCUGGAGAGGUAGAUGGAAUUCCUUGUGUAGCGGUGAAAUGCGUAGAUAUAAGGAAGAACACCAGUGGCGAAGGCGAUCUACUGGACAGUAACUGACGCUGAGGCGCGAAAGCGUGGGGAGCAAACAGGAUUAGAUACCCUGGUAGUCCACGCUGUAAACGAUGAAUACUAGGUGUGGGGGGACUGACCCCCUCCGUGCCGCAGUUAACGCAAUAAGUAUUCCACCUGGGGAGUACGGCCGCAAGGUUGAAACUCAAAGGAAUUGACGGGGGCCCGCACAAGCAGUGGAUUAUGUGGUUUAAUUCGAAGCAACGCGAAGAACCUUACCUGGUCUUGACAUCCCUAUGAAUAACGGGCAAUGCCGUUAGUACUUCGGUACAUAGGAGACAGGUGGUGCAUGGUUGUCGUCAGCUCGUGUCGUGAGAUGUUGGGUUAAGUCCCGCAACGAGCGCAACCCUUAUCUUUAGUAGCCAGCAGUAAGAUGGGCACUCUAGAGAGACUGCCGGGGAUAACCCGGAGGAAGGUGGGGAUGACGUCAAAUCAUCAUGCCCCUUAUGACCAGGGCUACACACGUGCUACAAUGGCGUAAACAAAGAGAAGCGAAGUCGUGAGGCAGAGCGAAUCUCAAAAAUAACGUCUCAGUUCGGAUUGUAGUCUGCAACUCGACUACAUGAAGCUGGAAUCGCUAGUAAUCGCAGAUCAGAAUGCUGCGGUGAAUACGUUCCCGGGUCUUGUACACACCGCCCGUCACACCAUGGGAGUCGGAAAUGCCCGAAGUCGGUGACCUAACCGCAAGGAAGGAGCCGCCGAAGGCAGGUCUGAUAACUGGGGUGAAGUCGUAACAAGGUA
rnacentral:rRNA from 1 species